rnacentral:lncRNA from 1 species
UGUCAGGCUGUUAUUUUGCUCAUCUUUCAUCUUUUUCCAUGUGAGUACCUUCGUCCUUUUAUGCAAGGCACUAUGCAAACCUAAAAUAACAAACAAACACAAAAAAUAAUUAGAACUAGUAACAUGUGGGUUGCCUCCCACGAAGCGCUUCGUUUAACGUCGCAUAGCUCGACGGUUCAUUCCCCUUGUUAUGGGGGGGUACUUCAGCCUCCAAACCUUGUUGCACCUCUUGUCCAAAACUAGGAAGUUGUCUCUUUCAUCAGUAUGGAUUCCUUUGUGCCACAAGUCAUCUUUAACCUCCAUCUCCUUACCUUGUUUUCAUUUUCUUUUCUUUCUCUUGGUUUUUGGAAUUAAGGUGGGAGUCUUUUCAUUCAGGGUGGUUAAUGGCAGUGAUGAGAGUCGAGAGGGCCUUCCUGCAUCUUUCUUUGAUGUUGGCAUGUUACUUUGCCUUCUCGCCUCUGUCUUGAUUAAACCUACUUGAUAGUGAGAUUCUGUAUCUUCCUUUAGAUUCUGGUCUUCAAUAGCAUUCAAUGUUAUCUCUUUGUCGUGAACUUUCAAGGUUAACUUGCCCUGAUCCAUGUCUAGAUUGUAUCGACUUGUCUGCAUGAAAGGUCGACCCAGAAUGAUGGGUGCCUCAUCAUCUUCGGGUAUGUCUAGGAUUACAAAAUCAACAGGAAAAAUCAAGUCCUCUAUUGUUACCAGUACAUCUUCUGUUAUACCAUAUGCAUCCUUUCUUG